rnacentral:lncRNA from 1 species
GUUUUUUAACAAAACCUCUGGGAGCGCUGGUGGUAACCAGGCAUUCUCCUCUUCCCCAGAAAGCCACUCAGUCCAUCUGCAGUCCCACAAGCAACUUCACACUCCGCCCCUGCAUGCUGACAGCCAAACUCCUCGGUGCUCCCUUUGUCUAUAGAUGAAACUGCCUGAUAGAUUUUUAUGGCGGAAGGAAAGGAAAAUGACAGAUGCUCCAGGCCGCGCCCUUUGUUGCCAAAUAGGGGCUUUGUGGUGCAGUUUGAAAAACAGCAAUGCUUUGAUCUUGAGAUUUGCUGUAAGAAUACUCUAAAAUACAGUUGUUACAGGGAAGAUACAGAGGGUUGGAGACAAUUAAACUAUUCACUUAAAACUGCUCUUCUCUGCUACUGUGUGCGGAAG